rnacentral:rRNA from 1 species
UACGGAGGGAGCUAGCGUUGUUCGGAAUUACUGGGCGUAAAGGGCUCGUAGGUGGCCAACUAAGUCAGACGUGAAAUCCCUCGGCUUAACCGGGGAACUGCGUCUGAUACUGGAUGCUAGAGUUUGGGAGAGGGAUGCGGAAUUCCAGGUGUAGCGGUGAAAUGCGUAGAUAUCUGGAGGAACACCGGUGGCGAAGGCGGCAUCCUGGAUCUCUUCUGACGCUGAGGCGCGAAAGCUAGGGGAGCAAACGGG